rnacentral:rRNA from 1 species
UACGUAGGGUGCAAGCGUUGUCCGGAAUUAUUGGGCGUAAAGGGCUCGUAGGCGGUUUGUCGCGUCGGGAGUGAAAACACCGGGCUUAACUCGGUGCUUGCUUUCGAUACGGGCAGACUAGAGGCAUGCAGGGGAGAACGGAAUUCCUGGUGUAGCGGUGAAAUGCGCAGAUAUCAGGAGGAACACCGGUGGCGAAGGCGGUUCUCUGGGCAUGUCAUGACGCUGAGGAGCGAAAGUGUGGGGAGCGAACAGG